rnacentral:rRNA from 1 species
UACGUAGGGUGCGAGCGUUGUCCGGAAUUAUUGGGCGUAAAGAGCUCGUAGGCGGUGUGUCACGUCGUUCGUGAAAACCUGCAGCUUAACUGUGGGCGUGCGGUCGAUACGGGCAUCACUGGAGUUCGGCAGGGGAGACUGGAAUUCCUGGUGUAGCGGUGAAAUGCGCAGAUAUCAGGAGGAACACCGGUGGCGAAGGCGGGUCUCUGGGCCGAUACUGACGCUGAAGCGCGAAAGCUAGGGGAGCGAACGGG